rnacentral:rRNA from 1 species
GGACAACCUGCCCUGAGAACGGGUAUAAACCCGGGAAACUGGGUAUAAUACCCGAUAGUCCUCGAAAGCUGGAAUGCAUCGAGGACGAAAGCUCCGGCGCCUUAGGAUGGGUCUGCGGCCUAUCAGGUAGUAGUGGGUGUAACGUACCUACUAGCCUACGACGGGUACGGGUUGUGAGAGCAAGAGCCCGGAGAUGGAUUCUGAGACACGAAUCCAGGCCCUACGGGGUGCAGCAGGCGCGAAAACUUUACAAUGCUGGCAACAGCGAUAAGGGGACCUCGAGUGCCAGGUUACAAAUCUGGCUGUCGCGAUGCCUAAAAAGCAUUACAUAGCAAGGGCCGGGCAAGACCGGUGCCAGCCGCCGCGGUAACACCGGCGGCUCGAGUGGUAACCGUUAUUAUUGGGUCUAAAGGGUCUGUAGCCGGCCGGAUAAGUCUCUUGGGAAAUCCAGCAGCCUAACUGUUGGGCUUUCAGGAGAUACUGUCUGGCUCGAGGCCGGGAGAGGUGAGAGGUACUUCAGGGGUAGGGGUGAAAUCUUGUAAUCCUUGAAGGACCACCAGUGGCGAAGGCGUCUCACCAGAACGGACCUGACGGCAAGGGACGAAAGCUAGGGGCACGAACCGGAUUAGAUACCCGGGUAGUCCUAGCUGUAAAGUAUGCGGGCC